rnacentral:rRNA from 1 species
AUGGGUAGUUCCCACCUUGGAGCGAUCCAUCCACCAAUCGUUGACGGAGCUCUCCAAAUGCCACAAAGAUGGGUCAAUGCUAUCAAGAUGAAGCUUGUCGAUCAUCAAGCGCCAAAGCCGGAUAGUGAACCGGCACUUGAAAAAGAAAUGGUAACCCAAUUCUUGCACCAUCUUGCAAAGCGGGCAAAGACCGCAAUUCUGUCAUCCCUGCUUGGCCAGCCUAUCAGCAGUCCAAAUGCGGUCUUGCAUAGUCAACCAAGCAAAGAACUUGACCUUUGUCGGUGCCCAAACUUUCCAAAGCACAUGCUCCAUUGA